rnacentral:lncRNA from 1 species
ACUUUUGUUUGUAGUUGAUUGCUUAUCACCUAUUCAAGGCUUCAUUUCUAUUUACCGUGUGUAUUUGAUGAUUUGUCCUCAGUAAGUCCCUACAAAAGAAUACUGAUCAUGUUUUCUUUUCUCUCUCACAGCUGCUCAGUAAUUUCACAAGAUGUAAUGCUUGGGCAAUUGUUGAGCUUUGCUGCAGACUAA